GACGAACGCUGGCGGCGUGCUUAACACAUGCAAGUCGAACGGAAAGGCCCUGCUUCUGUGGGGUGCUCGAGUGGCGAACGGGUGAGUAACACGUGAGUAACCUGCCCUUGACUUUGGGAUAACUUCAGGAAACUGGGGCUAAUACCGGAUAGGAGCUCCUGCUGCAUGGUGGGGGUUGGAAAGUUUCGGCGGUUGGGGAUGGACUCGCGGCUUAUCAGCUUGUUGGUGGGGUAGUGGCUUACCAAGGCUUUGACGGGUAGCCGGCCUGAGAGGGUGACCGGCCACAUUGGGACUGAGAUACGGCCCAGACGCAUACGGGAGGCAGCAGUGGGGAAUAUUGCACAAUGGGCGGAAGCCGGAUGCAGCAACGCCGGGUGCGGGAUGACGGCCUUCGGGUUGGAAACCGCUUUCGCCUGUGACGAAGCGUGAGUGACGGUAAUGGGUAAAGAAGCACCGGCUAACUACGU
rnacentral:rRNA from 1 species